UACGGAGGGGGCUAGCGUUGUUCGGAAUCACUGGGCGUAAAGCGCACGUAGGCGGCUACUCAAGUCAGAGGUGAAAGCCUGGGGCUCAACCUCAGAAUUGCCUUUGAAACUAGGUAGCUUGAAGAUGGGAGAGGUAAGCGGAAUUCCGAGUGUAGAGGUGAAAUUCGUAGAUAUUCGGAAGAACACCAGUGGCGAAGGCGGCUUACUGGACCAUUCUUGACGCUGAGGUGCGAAAGCGUGGGGAGCAAACAGG
rnacentral:rRNA from 1 species